GAGAAGGGAAAAGCAAGUUGAUGGUGGGGACCACAGAAGAGAGAGAUGUAUGUGAUAAAGCUGCGGAGACAUGCAUGUGUGUGAGUCUGUCAUGUACACCUCUGUGUGGUCUAUGCCACCUAUCGCUUACACAGAGAGAGAGAGAGAGAGAGAGAGAGAAGGAAUGUAGCUUUCUCGGUCAAAGAAGUUGGAGACAGCUGCCCUUGCAUGCCAGGUAAGACCCACUUAUCUCCUUUUAUUUGCUUUCUAAAGUUCUUAACUCUAUACUUCUCAUGUGGACCUCUUCUUUUCAUCUCAGCCGUCUGUCUUCAUGACAAUAAUAUAUAUGAUAUCGUAAGACGCAAGAGCUAUGUGGUUGGAGGAGCACUGUAUUGCUGUGCAUGCAUCGAAGGGGCCCUGUAUAUAAAUGAAUAAAGUUUGCACCAUUGUAAUUGCACUUGCUCAUUCCCUUUAUUUCUUUAUUGCCAUUCCCCCUCUACAAUUUGUAUGAAGCAAUUACUGUAUUGUUGUUAGAUUUUGCUUAAAUAUAGUAGUAAGAACCUCAGUUUUUUCAAUUACUACUAUUUAUUCCUUUCAUUGUAAUUUCAUUAUACUCUAAGGUUGAAC
rnacentral:lncRNA from 1 species